rnacentral:rRNA from 1 species
UACGUAGGGGGCUAGCGUUGUCCGGAUUUAUUGGGCGUAAAGAGCUCGUAGGCGGUUUGGCAAGUCGGGUGUGAAAACUCCGGGCUCAACUCGGAGACGCCACUCGAUACUGCCAUGACUUGAGUCCGGUAGGGGAGUGUGGAAUUCCUGGUGUAGCGGUGGAAUGCGUAGAGAUCGGGAAGAACAUCAGUGGCGAAGGCGGCCUGCUGGGCUGUUGCUGACGCUGAGGCGCGACAGCGUGGGGAGCAAACAGG